AUCUCUGGCCUCCACGCCGCGACUUGACCCCGGAAGCAGGGUGUCGGGCUCCGGUGCUGGUGCGGCGGGGGACUGCGUCUGGAGCCUCAGGUAAAUACCUAGAAGGAGGUCUGGGUCGUAUGAUAGCAGCAGCAGCAGGAAUGUUUCACUUCUUCAGAAAGCCUCCGGAAUC